UACGUAUGGUGCAAGCGUUAUCCGGAUUUACUGGGUGUAAAGGGAGCGUAGGCGGCGCGUUAAGUCUGAUGUGAAAACCCGAGGCUCAACCACGGGAGUGCAUUGGAAACUGGCAAGCUGGAGUGCCGGAGAGGUAAGCGGAAUUCCUAGUGUAGCGGUGAAAUGCGUAGAUAUUAGGAGGAACACCAGUGGCGAAGGCGGCUUACUGGACGGCAACUGACGCUGAGGCUCGAAAGCGUGGGGAGCAAACAGG
rnacentral:rRNA from 1 species